GAUCCAGAGUCAGGAAACACUGGUGAAUCACUUCCUGCAGUGAAUCACAUCUUUAUGCUGAUCGAGGUGAAGAAAGGGAGGUCACAUCCUUCCUUGGUCUUCCCUUUCUCCUCCUGACUUCAGCUGGCCCAACCUGCAAACCUUUUGUCUUCGAGUCAUGGAUGCUUACUGACACCAGGUGAGUGAGUUGGGGCUCAUGUAGCUAAAGGGUCCAGUGGCCAGAAAGAAAGGGUUCUCACACAGGAUGAGCAGCCCUUCUACAAG
rnacentral:lncRNA from 1 species